UCUCCUGUUGUGCAAUUCAUUUUCAAAUCUUGCUUAUUGGUGGUUACCCCUAUUGCAGAUCGUUCAUUUUGAGCUGCUACGAUUUUUUUGUACUGUUUUAAUUUUAUCAUCAGUGUUAAGUACAAUAUUGACUUCAUGUCUGUUAUUGGGUAAAGUUUUUCAAUUUCGGCUGCAAAGUGAAUAAUUUAUAUAUUGGAUUUUUAAACUAUUGUUAGUCAUUUCAUGAUAUUAAUAUCUAUUUUGCUUUCCGAGCUUAAUAAUGCUCCUGUUGUGCUGAGAGGAUUUGAAUUUAGCAAACUACAGGAAAACUAUAAGCAAGUUUGUUGAUUGUUUGAACCAAAGUAUAGAAAUAGGCAAUUGAUUAGUCCUUGAAAUGAAGGUGUGGACUGUUGAUAGAAGUUGAGUCUCACUUUUGGCAUUUCUCUAUCAGAUGACAUCUAUCAAUGGAAACCGGGAACUAGGAGUAUAACACUCGCUGUAUUUUCUCAAUUGCUACGUUUU